rnacentral:rRNA from 2 species
GCAAGUCGAACGGUGAAGCCCCGCUUGCGGGGUGGAUCAGUGGCGAACGGGUGAGUAACACGUGAGCAACCUGCCCCUGACUCUGGGAUAAGCGCUGGAAACGGCGUCUAAUACUGGAUACGAGACGUGAUCGCAUGGUCAACGUUUGGAAAGAUUUUUCGGUUGGGGAUGGGCUCGCGGCCUAUCAGCUUGUUGGUGAGGUAAUGGCUCACCAAGGCGUCGACGGGUAGCCGGCCUGAGAGGGUGACCGGCCACACUGGGACUGAGACACGGCCCAGACUCCUACGGGAGGCAGCAGUGGGGAAUAUUGCACAAUGGGCGCAAGCCUGAUGCAGCAACGCCGCGUGAGGGAUGACGGCCUUCGGGUUGUAAACCUCUUUUAGCAGGGAAGAAGCGAGAGUGACGGUACCUGCAGAAAAAGCACCGGCUAACUACGUGCCAGCAGCCGCGGUAAUACGUAGGGUGCAAGCGUUAUCCGGAAUUAUUGGGCGUAAAGAGCUCGUAGGCGGUUUGUCGCGUCUGCUGUGAAAUCUGGGGGCUCAACCCCCAGCCUGCAGUGGGUACGGGCAGACUAGAGUGCGGUAGGGGAGAUUGGAAUUCCUGGUGUAGCGGUGGAAUGCGCAGAUAUCAGGAGGAACACCGAUGGCGAAGGCAGAUCUCUGGGCCGUAACUGACGCUGAGGAGCGAAAGGGUGGGGAGCAAACAGGCUUAGAUACCCUGGUAGUCCACCCCGUAAACGUUGGGAACUAGUUGUGGGGUCCAUUCCACGGAUUCCGUGACGCAGCUAACGCAUUAAGUUCCCCGCCUGGGGAGUACGGCCGCAAG